rnacentral:lncRNA from 1 species
GACACACCAAGUUCGUAACUUAAUAGCUCUGUAUCAAGAACAGAUAUCACGGUUGUGUAAACGGCAUCCAUUAGAUCAUUCAAAGCAGAGAAAUUGGAUGUGUCAGAUGAUAACUUACGUGAAUUCGUUACGUUGUGUACAAGGGUACUGAAAAAGCUGUAUUUCUAUAUUACUAACUUUUUUGAGAUUCAUGUGUAACAUAUCAAUUUUGCCCACUUAGUAAUUCACAGAUGCAAUUCACAGAAUUGUGAUAUCAUCUUUCAUUGCUGAGUUACAGAGUUGUAAACAUGAUAGUUUCAUUCCCUGAAAAUUUGUGAUUUUUGCCAAUUGUUAAUAAAAAUUGGCAACCUCAAUCUAAAAUUCAAAACCAACAGUCACAAGAUUUUAAGUUUUUCUUUUAAAUUCAACAAACUUCGUCAAAUUUGGUGCCGUGGUUGCCGAGAAAAACGAAUUCUCC